rnacentral:lncRNA from 1 species
GGAAGGAGAAAAGGAAUUUGAAGCCCUCAGAUCUCAUAGCUUAACACAAUCAUCUACAGCUUUUGUCACUGGUUUCAUUCAUAACCUUAUUGCACCUUUCAGAUCAGGGUGUUGCUAGCAUUGCAUCCCGUAUACACAAACACACACACGCACACACACACACAGAGGAAAAGAGAUAUAUUGUGAGGGAGAGAGAGAGAGAGAGAGAGAGAGAGAGAGGUGCACUUCAGGUUAUGAUCGAUACCAUGUAGCUGCUCAACAAUCUAUUUGUGCAUCAUUGGGCCAAAUAACAAGUAAUUUGCUUCAAUUAUCAAUUCCGAACUUUUUUUCACAGUUAAAAGAUUCAGUUAUAAUUUUGCAGUUGAAAACAGAGGAAAUGCUUACAAGAGCCUCUCCAAAAAAAAAAACAAAUAGAAUACAGAUAAUGCACCAAGAGGAAAAGAUGAAACAAGGAAGAUGUUGAUGAAAAUACAAUAUGCAAAGAGGAAAACAACGCAGAAGCUCCACAACAAUCGGAAAACAAUUCUCAUCAUACAGAGAGAAGAAAAAGUAAACAGACAAGCAUUAAGAAAUUAUGAGGGAGCUCUCUUUGCCCAACUAAUAAAAAAUUACAUUUACAUUGAAAUUCUUUAAGCCAGCUAUUAGAAACAAAAUAAACGAGGAAGAAUUCAAAGCCCUCAGUUCUAAUAGAUUAAUAACUAAAUCAUCUACAGCCUUUACCUCCGGUUCAUUCACAACCUUCUUGCACCUUUCCAAGAAACAACACACACACACAGAGAGAGAGAGAGAAGGGGGAGAGAUGCAUAUCAGGCUACGAACAAAACCAUUAAGUCAUUCAAUAGUAUAUUUGUGCAUCAUUGGGAAGGACGACAGACAAUUUGCCCAAAAGAUCAUCAUCAAAUUUAUUUUCAGAUGAAAUUUUGUAUCUUAGUUGUGAUUUUCAGAAAUCAAUUUAGAGUAGUAAGAAGGGUCAAGACAUAAAAGAGCUCCUAGAUAAACAAUGCAUCUGAAAGCAUCACAUCACACGAAAGGCUUUACAUUUCAGAACAAACAAAUAUUUAUAGAAGCCACAUCAAAGACUAACCAACAUGUUAAUGAGAAAGCCCUUUACUUCCACAUAUCAAUCAGAAAAAAAAAUCCCAAAACAACACAUAAAAAAGACAGCAAAUAAAACUAAACACAAACAAAAAUAAAUAGCAGAACCAGUGGAAGGAAGACUGUUAAAAAAAAUAGAGAUUCUUGACCAACACUGAAGAAUAACACAUUAGGGUUUGAAGGGAAUGAAAUUAAUAUGCAAUGAGAACCGAUGAAUUCACCAAAUCAGACCCUUUUUUAACUUGUGGGUAGUCAGACCUAGCUUUCUAGGCUGUGCAUUUCCAUCAAAAGUGCAGUUAAAACAGCUCAGAGCCCAGUGCAUAUCAUCAUUCACUAGCCAUGAAAAACAAUCAAACAAGCCAAUAAUAAACAAAUCGCCACAAUAAAUAAGAAAAUAAAUAUUGAAGUGGAGAAUUUAUGACAAGAAAAUACAAAACCCUCAGAUCUCAUAGCUUAAAAUGAAAUCAUACACAGCUUUUAUCACUGGUUUCAUUCAUAACCUUCACGCACCCUCCGAGUGAAAUGCUAGCAUUGCUCACACACACACACGCACACACACACACACAAGUAGGAAGGAAGAGAGAGAAAGAGAGAUGCAGAUCGGGUUAUGAAAGAAACCGUGUAGCUGCUCAACAAUAUAUUUGUGCAUCAUUGGGCAAAAUACAAGCAAUUUGCUUCAAUUAUCAAAUACUAAACUUCAUUUUACAGAGUAAAAUUUCUUUCAGAUAUAAGAUCCACUCCAUUGAAAUUAAAUAAAACAAAAAUGCGUCGAACAUAAGCAAGGUAACGAGAGGAAAAUGCAGCUUGCUCAGAACAUCACAUAGAUGCAAAAAAAGAAAAACAGAAAACAAAUUCAACACAGAAGAAAAAGAAAAGGCAAUAUAUAUAUAUAUAUAUAUAUAUAUAUAGUGUUGAAC